GAAUAUUGGACAAUGGGCGAAAGCCUGAUCCAGCCAUGCCGCGUGAGUGAUGAAGGCCCUAGGGUUGUAAAGCUCUUUCGGCGGGGAAGAUAAUGACGGUACCCGCAGAAGAAGCCCCGGCUAACUUCGUGCCAGCAGCCGCGGUAAUACGAAGGGGGCUAGCGUUGUUCGGAAUUACUGGGCGUAAAGCGCGCGUAGGCGGAUUGGUAAGUUGGGGGUGAAAUCCCGGGGCUCAACCCCGGAACUGCCUCCAAAACUCCCAGUCUUGAGUUCGAGAGAAGUGAGUGGAAUUCCGAGUGUAGAGGUGAAAUUCGUAGAUAUUCGGAGGAACACCAGUGGCGAAGGCGGCUCACUGGCUCGAUACUGACGCUGAGGUGCGAAAGCGUGGGGAGCAAACAGGA
rnacentral:rRNA from 1 species